UGCCUGGUGGUGUAACGGUAGCACGCCUGACUCUGGAUCAGGUAGUCGGGGUUCAAAUCCCUGCCGGGCAA
rnacentral:tRNA from 2 species